AGAGAGAGAGAGAGAGAGAGAGAGAGAGAGAGAGAGAGAGGAAGAGAAAGCUUAGAGAACGUAUACGAACAUAUAAGACCAUGUUAAAUAGAAUAUAUAAGAAAGUGUAUAAACAAAACAAUAGAGACGGUCACGUUAUUGCCCUUAAACCAAGGAAGCUGCUCGCUAUUAUAGCAUACGUGCUCCGUAUUCCGGAACGUCAACAUCUCUCUGAUGAUCAUCUUUCGUUAUAUAAUGUAUAUAAGGAAGAAGUAAUUGCCGUUGCGAUAAAGACGUAAUAAAAUCAAAUUUCAUCGUUGGCUUAUAUAUGCGUGUUAUAUUAUGCAAGGUAAGCUUAUUGUUACGAUGGUAUGAUAGCGUGUGGAAAAGAAAGAAACAGGAAAACGAAAAGAAGAGAAAGAGAAAGCAAGAGAGA